rnacentral:rRNA from 1 species
GAUGAACGCUGGCGGCGUGCCUAAUACAUGCAAGUCGAGCGAACGGACGAGAAGCUUGCUUCUCUGAUGUUAGCGGCGGACGGGUGAGUAACACGUGGAUAACCUACCUAUAAGACUGGGAUAACUUCGGGAAACCGUAGCUAAUACCGGAUAAUAUUUUGAACCGCAUGGUUCAAAAGUGAAAGACGGUCUUGCUGUCACUUAUAGAUGGAUCCGCGCUGCAUUAGCUAGUUGGUAAGGUAACGGCUUACCAAGGCAACGAUGCAUAGCCGACCUGAGAGGGUGAUCGGCCACACUGGAACUGAGACACGGUCCAGACUCCUACGGGAGGCGGCAGUAGGGAAUCUUCCGCAAUGGGCGAAAGCCUGACGGAGCAACGCCGCGUGAGUGAUGAAGGUCUUCGGAUCGUAAAACUCUGUUAUUAGGGAAGAACAUAUGUGUAAGUAACUGUGCACACCUUGACGGUACCUAAUCAGAAAGCCACGGCUAACUACGUG